rnacentral:rRNA from 1 species
UACGUAGGGGCCGAGCGUUGUCCGGAGUUACUGGGCGUAAAGCGCGCGCAGGCGGCUCGUCAAGCCUGACGUGAAAGCCCCCGGCUCAACCGGGGAGGGUCGUCGGGGACUGGCGGGCUUGAGGGCGGCAGGGGUUGGUGGAAUUCCCGGUGUAGUGGUGAAAUGCGUAGAUAUCAUCAGGAACACCGGUGGCGAAAGCGGCUUACUGGGUCUCUUCUGACGCUGAGGAACGAAAGCUAGGGGAGCGAACGGG